rnacentral:piRNA from 1 species
UACUUCUGUCUGCUCUAUUUCACUGGAUC